AUACGUAGGGGGCGAGCGUUGUCCGGAAUGAUUGGGCGUAAAGGGCGCGUAGGCGGCCCGGUAAGUCUGGAGUGAAAGUCCUGUUUUUAAGAUGGGAAUUGCUUUGGAUACUGUCGGGCUUGAGUGCAGGAGAGGUAAGUGGAAUUCCCAGUGUAGCGGUGAAAUGCGUAGGGAUUGGGAGGAACACCAGUGGCGAAGGCGACUUACUGGACUGUAACUGACGCUGAGGCGCGAAAGUGUGGGGAGCAAACAGGAUUAGAUACCCUGGUAGUCCACACUGUAAACGAUGAAUGCUAGGUGUAGGGGGUAUCGACCCCUUCUGUGCCGCAGUCAACACAAUAAGCAUUCCGCCUGGGGAGUACGGCCGCAAGGUUGAAACUCAAAGGAAUUGACGGGG
rnacentral:rRNA from 1 species